CACACUUCUGCAAACCUCAGGUAUGCAGUUAUUUAUAUAUAUUUUAGAUAUUUCUUUUUGUAAAUGGUUUAGUAUUUAACUAUAUUCAUACUCAUCCUGUCCCUUAUUUAUAGACAGGUUUUGUAUAUUAUUACAUGUCACUUUGGGACUAUAAGGGCUUGAGAUCUUGCUAUAUGCGAUUCUGCACCGCCGGCUUCCUUCCUCCUAUUUUCCAUCCAGAGGAAUCUUCUGCGUCCUAACAGUGGUGUCCUUUUUCUGGGAUGCGCAGGGUUGAUUAAACGCUGUGAGUGAAAAGUGGUUCCUAUAUAUGUUGACUACACACAUUUCGGCCCCUGAUGAAGGGUAAUCCGAAACGCGUAGGGCCGUGUACGUCUUCAUGGAUGUUACUUUUCAAUGACACCCAUCCAUGUACUGUUUUUAAACAAUUUAUAUGUAUAAUUUUCAUUUUGUAUAAUUUCUACUUUGUAUAUUAAAAUACUUCAUUUUUUGACUA